GGCCAAUCUUAUGACUAUAUAUUGUAGUAAAAUCACUUUGCCUCAUCAGAGCUCAGAUUCAUUCACAUUGUCCAGCACCAAGGAAAUAAUCAAAAUGAUUUCCAUCUGUGAAGUGCAUGGUGAGACUUGCUGCAGGUCUGUGAUGAUGUGAUAGGGAAUCUUUCAUAAAAUAAAAUGAGCAGCAAGAAUAUCCCUUGAUCAGAGACCGGAGAAUUUCUAACAAAGAACCAGUGUGGUUCCUCUUGGGCCCAAACCCUGAAAGCUGCUUUGUCUUUUGCUCCUCCUCAUUAUCUUCUCGAUCUUGAUGGAGACCUCUGUCCAGCCUGUAAAACUGAGAUGGGGAUAUUACAACACCUCCUGCUCUUCAUCUUAUCUGACACAAACCAUGGUUUAUUAUUCACUAUCUGGAUGGAAAACCAGCUGAUUUAUCACAUAUUCAGCAUUAUUGUGGAUUUUCUGUAUCCUUGGGUUGCCCUAUCUAAACUUCAGGACAUCUGCAAAGUCAUACAUCAUACAUGGAAGAGUAAAAAAGAUAAUGGCAGGAUCUAAUCCCUGCCCAUUGAGUUUAAGGAUAUAGAGGAUGAUGCUCUCUAGUGGAUAUUGAAACUGCUCUGCUUCUGAAACCACUGAGAACAAGGUAGACGCGUGUUCUAAAUAAACUGUUGUUUUUUAUGUUAUGUAUUUUAUUCUUUUUCACAUAGCUUAAUUUAGUUUUGUGUUUUACAAUGAACAAUAAGUGACAUUAAUUCAUGUAAUAAUGAUAGGACAACAUAAUUUGUUAGCUAAGAAUAGCUAACAAAUGUCCUUCCCUGUAUUUCCUUUGCCUUUAAAAUCCGUGUGCAGUAAAAGAUCUGGAUCUAAGGCAGCCUAAGUCAAACUUAACUGAAUGCUGUUCUCAUAGCCAUGAAAAUAGACGUUUC
ensembl:lncRNA